AACGCACAUUGCGCCCGCCAGUAUUCUGGCGGGCAUGCCUGUUCGAGCGUCAUUUCAACCCUCAAGCCCCCGGGCUUGGUGCUGGGGAUCGGCCGUCAUGGGCCGGCCCCGAAAUCGAUUGGCGGUCUCGCUGUAGCCUCCUCUGCGUAGUAGCAACACCUCGCACUGGAACGCGGCGCGGCCACGCCGUAAAACCCCAACUUCUGAAAGGUUGACCUCGGAUCAGGUAGGAAUACCCGCUGAACUUAA
rnacentral:misc_RNA from 1 species